UGAGUGCAGCAAUGUAGAUCUUGCCAUCUCUACCUCCGGCCAGAAAAGACAUGGCUCACCAGGGUCCACUGCAUUCAUCGAUGCUUGAUUGUAAUACAAUAUGUUCUCAAAUAGCAGUCCCCUUUGAUAAGCUCCAAACCUAGUGAUUAUGUAUGCAUAAGCAGAAAUUAAUAAGCUAUUCAUAGUGACUCCUCAGAAACAUUCAAAGGAACCAUGCCACACCAUUGCAUGUCCUAUCCUCAGAAGCAGACACAUAAGUGCAUUACAUCCUCCAUAACCCGUGCAAUACAGUCACACGGAAAGUGUGCUCAGAGAAGCUAUAGCUCAUAGAGGUCCUUGCUUGCUCCCUCCGCAUAUCAUCCAAAUAUCCUAAUUAGCAUUCAAUUUUCACGUCAGUAAUGUCCCCGUGAAGAAAGUCAUAAAUCAUGAGCAAAAGUAUAGGAGUACAAAUGAGAAAAGACCAGACCUCUAACUGAUGCCUCCUCUCGCCCCAGAAUCAAUAGAGACUGAUCGUCGGAGAAUACCAGAAAGUAACAGCGCUAUACUGAGCAGGCCACUUCUUAGUAGUCCUUCCCUCCGCAACUAUGUUUAACAGCACGAAAUCCGUUUCUUCUAUAUUAGUCACUCUUUUCAAUGCCCAAUAGAAAAUGUAGUAAACCCAUGCAUGGAAACCAUAUUAACAAAAUAUAAUAUGCACCUCCGCAUAAAUACAUAUCCCGAAGCACCUCCUCCAAAUAUAAGUUCCCAUCACGAUAGAGGCGAGCGGAUGAUUGGCUCUGCUGGGACGCUCCUUAACUUCCCACUUGAAGGCUGCACGACAAUGAAAACGGAUAACCAAGCCUAGAUUGAAACGAGCACCGUAAAUGAUUGUCACAUUCUAAGAAGAGGGAACACACGUUUUAAGCUUCAUAGGUAUAGAGGUUUCCACUUUUUCCCAGAUUCCUACUAGAUACACACACAUAACAAGGACAAAGAUGUUGUAUUUAUUGUAUGAAUCAAUUUUCUGAUUUCGUUCUAAGAUUAUUUUAUCAACAGGUUACUGCAAGUACUACAGUUAUACGUUAUGAACUUGCAGAUUUACAAAUUUCCACCUAGGUCAAUUAUACGAAUGGAUAUAAUGAUAUUAUGGUGUAGAGUGGACCUUGUUCCAGGACCAUAAGGACGAGCCGGAGGAAGAGGAAGAGGGUGGGCGGAGCUGAGAGGAGGCCUAGGAAACAGGAGGCCAACGCCACCCAAGCCGUGGGGAGGGGAGGCGCACGACCGGUAACGAAGGUGCUCCUCUCCGGAGUGCAGGUCCCGCACCUAUGCAGCUUCGGCCGGCCGACGAAGCGAUCACUAGUUCCGGAUCCAUCAAGGGCGGGAGCAGAAAUUGGACUCCUGGCUAUGUCAAAGAUUAAUGAACUAUAGAAAAAAAAAUUCGAAUAUAAUAUGUAAAAGUUACAUAAGCUAAUCAAAUUUAAACUAAUAAGCAAUUUUCCAUAAACAUGUAAAUAUUUAAAAAAUACUACUGAAUAUAAAUUAUUGAAGUUGUGCUCAACGACUUGGCUAGAAUAAAUCAUCUAUAUAGAAUCCGAAUCAAUCAUUUUAGAAAAAUCUCUUCGAUGUCUAAUGCGUAAACCGAUUCUUUUGAUUUUCUUCUAACCUUGUGCAUAAUGACUUGUCAUAUGCCGACCACCGUUACGUAAUCCUCACAAAGUUAAUAGCAUUGUUAUGUGGUGCAUUAGCACAUCCUACGUUGCCAUAGGGCACAUCUAUUUCCAUCAUUAACGCCUCUUCCAACUUCGAACCCUUCAAUAGUAAAUGCUGGCCAGUUGAUGUAUUCAUUCAAAAAGGAAGAAGGGAAAACAGAAGCUGCAUCCUUUGAAGGAAAUACUCUAAGCCAGGAUUGUUUUGAACCAAGGUAUCUUGGAUCGACGAUCGUGUUUCCUCUAAUACCGACCUGGAUAUUCAGAAAGAUGAGUUGAUAUGGCCCUAACUUUGAUAUAAGCUCGUCGAAUCUCAUCUCGAGCAUUAACUGGAUGGUUCCAUAGGAAUUACGUAACCCCGGAUCCCUUCAGGAGAAGUAUCAUCAAAUCGACCCUUGGAAAUUAGACAGAGGUUUCCUCAUUUGAAUUGAAGUUCAAUAUAAAAAGAUGCGUAAGUACUUUUGAUUUAUCAACUUUUGGUUUUGAAGAAAGAAUAAGAUUUUUUGAAGGGAGGAUUAGGCAAAUCUUCGUUAAACCUUGAUCGGCAGCGUGAAAGAUGAACUUGACGGAGGUUCGGUGCUUGAAGAUUUAGUUGGCGCCGUAAGACUCACAAGCUCCUGUGUGUGGUUUGACCUAAAAAUAUGAGGAAGAUAGCCCGAUCUUGCCUUAUGUGGUGCCCUACCUGGGCUUUAAUGUGACAAGUUUGUUUGUUAGGCCCAGCCCAAUGGGCUUUGACCAUACUUCAGUCGUUUUUUUUGUAAUCCCUGAGAAAUCGAACCCAGCGUUAGUGUAUGUGAAGUGCUAGUUACUGUUCACGCGUGUUCCGUGAAUCGUACCCGCCGUUUGUAAAUGUUGUUAAACAAAACAAAACACACUUUUUUUGGUUUUUCACUUUUUUCAAAAUUGUUUGAGUAAUUUUGUUUUGUUUACAUGUACAAAUAGCAAUACAAACAGGUUUUGUUUUCAUAAACAGAAAAACGAAAUUAACAGAAAAACGAAAUUAUGGGGUAACAAACAUCCACGAAUUAUUUCAAUUUGAAACUUUCAUUUUAAUUAAACUAGAGGGACCAAUAGCGUGAUUACACCCAUAGACUUGAAGGGUGUUGAUUAUUUCUUAAUAAAGAAGAAAGCUCAUUUUAACACACUUUAAGUUACAUUAAAAGGAGAAACAACAAGGUUUUGUCUUUCCUCCACUAUCCUUCUUCUUUCUUCCUAUCUUUUUCGUCCGUUAGGAAUAUAUCUUAUUCACGUGUAUCGUGAAGGACUUUCCAAUCUGUAAACGGGGAACUUUCACAGGUGCGUAAGUUUAUGAUUGAAUCAUUGAACAAUCAGGUCUUUUUUUUCUCUUUUCAUUUGUUGUUUGACAAAGCUAAUUAUUCUAAUGACAAUUUAAGGCCAAGAUGGUCCUCUAUAGAUCUCACAGAUAAAAAUUUAGAAAGAUAAAAAUCAAGUUUCAAAGAAACAAGUAGUACUAUACUUCACGAAUAUUACUCCAAAAUUGCUCAAAUUACUGAUCAAAAUGCAAAACAAUCACCACUUAAACGUUUCUCUUAUCGUAUUAGUAUUAGUAUGUGAACUCAAAUGCGAACUCGACACUUUUAUAAAAAUUGGAGGCCUAAAGCCGAUGUAGCCCAGAGAGAGCAGAUCUUAUAUGACAUGAUUUUUGAUCGGUGCCAAACUAUCAACCUAACAUUCCCUAUGGACAUGAUUUUGAUCAGUGCCAACUGUCAACCUAGAAAUUCCCUAAGACCGUUGUUUAAAUUAUAUUUGUACAGUGAUUACAUUUAUAGAAAGAAGAAAAAAUUGAACUAAAAAGGGAUAAAUUAUAAUUUUGUUUCAUUAACCAUUUUUAUUUUCAUUGCAAAAUCUAGUAGCAAUCAUGGCCCAAACAAACUUUCACAUGUAAAUAUAAAAAGCUAUAUUAUCAUCUGUUUUGGACCAUUUUAAUUUACAGUGAUGUGUGGACAUACAUCCAAAACAAUUGUAGAACUGAAUCAAAUUGUUAAACUCAUUGUAAGGUAAUAAAACAAUAAUCAAAACAGUUGAUAAACAUAUCAUUGUGGUUUUAAAUAGGACCUAAACAUGAUAACAAAAAACGUAUGGGUCACCGAAUGUCAAGAAAGAAACAAAGAAGAUAGAAAAUGGUGGGGUGUUGUGUUCGUAGAGGGGAAACACAAAGGCUGUUGGAUCAACAUGCCCCAUCACCUUCCUUUUUCUCUCUUCUCUAUUCUACUCUCGGUCUUCUCUUCUCUUCUCUUCUUUUUAAAAUGUGGCUGAUAAAACCUUAAAAGAAAGGGGUUUGCAAUGAGAUGGUCCACUCCAUCAAGGCUGCUGCUAAUACUCCUCAAUCGAAGGGAUUCUUGUGAUGAUCAAAACCCAUCAAAUGGGUCCCUCCAUCAUCUUCACCAUCAUUUCCGCCAAAACUAAAGCUAGAGUUUGCUGGAAGUAUCAUGUUCUUCUUUUCUAACUUGGACAGCCAAUAUAAGCAAAUCCAAAAAUUACAGAGAGAAUGAUUUUGUUAGAUCUUCUCAUCGAAAUAUGGUGAAAUUAUUCAAUAUGGUAAUGAUUAAGGUUAAAUCACACCUUACACCCCUGUGCUUUUGCCGCUCGUCCCCUGUUCCUUAUGGUACCUAGGCUGCAUCAUCUCAGGAAAGCCUUUUCAAAUCCGUCAACUAAAGUCACGGGUUGUUUUUUUGCCCCUUUCACACGUUUACAUUAGUCUAUUUCUGUUACUUAAUGACAAACACAUGGACAUCGAGGGGCUACCAAAUCUCAUAUAUAUGACUUACGUUUAUAAGGGUGACUAACACAAUCGAAUAGUUAAGAUGAGUGCAAAUUGAGAGUUAGUAAUUUAUAAGGGUGCAUGCAAAGUUAUAAUUUACCCGUUAAUGGAACAUUUUGUUUCUUGGUCGGUCCAGAAUUGUAUAGUUACUAUGGUUUUUACAUAUUCUAUGUAAAAUAUUAUUGCCAACUAACAGUCCACUUAGAGAACUUUUGGCUACUCAAUCUUUCAAGAACAAUGCUUUUCAAUGAUCCUGAUGGGAUGCCAAAAGGAAAAACAUGUACUCUACCAUUCAAUAUUCAAUACAACAUGAUGGGUUUUAUUUUUGCAUUAAUAUGCAAUUCAUAGUCUACACAUUUUUUUGCACUCCCAUACACGUAUGUGUGCUAAGAGAUCGAGUAUAUUAAAACCCGAGUGUUGUAUCGAUUGAAAUGAAAAUCAUCGCUAUUGGCUGUUACCGACAAUCAGUUUUAAAUUCAAUCACUACCCUUAUUCACAGCCAUAAGGACAACUAUAGACCUUUUUCGUGGAAGUGAUUAAAAACACCUGAUCUGAUAGACACACCAUAAAGUUUACUUUAAUACCGUAAUUUAAAAACCAUAGUGUAUAUAUAUGCUGUGCGCGUGCGUGCGCUGCUUUAAUAAGCCUUUGAUAGUGGAAAGUUAGAACGUACAUGGUUUAGGGAUGGAGAUACAAAUAGCUGGUAAAAGGAGCAACUUUUGACAGAGAUAGAAAAUGGAUAGUUGGUUCCAGAACAAAAUACAGCACAUUUGUACAACAUCCCCUUCCUGUAAAAAGCAAGAUACAACACCACCAAGUGGAGUUAGCCUGUAGAGAAAAGCCCACAGACCCCACUCAAAGAAACAGGAAAGAGAGAGAGAGGCAAAAGAAACAGCUUUAUAGGGAAUAAGUUGGGCUUUGUGAGUGAACUGAGUAAAAAACAUUUUCCCAUUCCACUUCCAUAACAUACUCUCUCUCUAUCUCAUAGAAGUUGGUAUGAGACCUGUAAGGUAUAAAGAAAAGGGAAGGUGGAGGUGGAGGUGGGAAGUUGGAAAGUGAGGUGGAAUGAUGGAAACAAUAAUAAUAACAAUAGAUUGCAUGAGCAUUAUAGUAGUAGUAGUAGUAGCAAUACUCAUGGUCCAAGCAUUUACUUUCCUCUUUGUCCUCCCUUGCCAUCGCUGAUUAGAAAAAAGUUUUUUUCUUUCAUUCCAGUCCCUCAAAUUAAAAUAAAAAAUUUAAAAAAAAAAAAAAAAUAUACAAUAACAGCAUCCUUUUCUUCCCUCCGAUUUUUUCGCCUUUUCCAUCUUUACCAGUAUACUGUUUUCCAAAUGCUUCUGCCAUGCUAAAAAGGUGACUAUAGUAACAAUAUAUAUAUAUAUAUAUAAGAUAUAUAUAUAAAAUAAUCUAUAUAUAUAUAUAUAUAUUAAACAUAGGUAGGUUUGUGUUGUGCCUAUUAUGAUUUAGUCAUGGCAAUGUGCUGUAAACAGAGCAGUGGUUUUAUGCUAUUCUAUAGAGUGGACUGUGGAACCUCAUAAGAAUAUUUUGGUAAUUAUCCAAACAUGUAACCUAGCUUGUUAAUUUCACCUUUUACAAUGUGCUAUAACAGUAUCAAUGUUUCUCUUGUGUGUGGGGGACUGUGAGGCGGCAUAAGGUUAUUUGGUACUUAUCCAAGCCAUUGCUACCUUAGCUUGCUAAUAUUCACCUAACUAAAGACAGCAAUUUUUCACCUUUUACAUGUUGCUUAGACAGUAGCAUGUUUCUGUUAUAGUGUGGGGAACUGGGCGCGGCAUAAGGUAAUUUUGUGUAUUAUUCAAAGACAUGUAACCUUGCUGCUGAAUAUUCACCUCAAACUAAAAGAAAACAGCAUCUUGUAUAAACGCAAGCACCUUUGAACGCAAGCUGAUAAAUAAAAUAGAUGAAAAAGCACUAAGCUCUAACAAUUAAGCACGUACCUUACUGCAUCGAACUGAUUCGUAUAGCAAUUGGUUAUGAAGCUUAAGCCCUUGAAUGCAGUAUGUGCUUGGUAAAUUUGCACUUAACUAAUUGCAGAUUGUAGGCUUUAGAUAUCUGACCGGUAGCAAGCAGCUCGGUAUUAUACAGUUGAACUCAUGCAUGAUUCAUCCAAAUCUGGAACUUCAAAUCCUCCACCCCAAAAGAAUACAUACAUUCGCCAGACAUCUCUAUACAACAACUGUUUCUGAGUUUCCUAAAAAAAGGGGGUAAAAGCACUUCAAUUCUAAUCAAAUCAACACGUAUCGUCUUCCAUACGACCCACUUAUCUGCCUUUUCAAGACUAAAAUGGUUAUUCCUAUACACACUAACGCUAUACAAGAUAUUAUGUUGCAGAAUAAUAGAUUGUAAUCUAAGAUUUGGGCUACAAGAUACAUCACAAGCAAUGCUGCAUUACCCUCAUGAAACUUUGAUCAUUCUCUCAAGCAUAGGCCCAUUAAAAAGACACAUGGACAUGAAUAUCAAACGGUCACAAUGCGAUUCGUCCUUGUACACUGGGCAAAGUUCAGUAAAUCUCCACAAGCUAAUUUAGACCAACUGCCCUUUAACCAUUUGAUUGGCCUUGUUUUAAGUGCUAAACCAAAUUUGCUCACCAGUUUGUUAAGAAACAUUUAUACAACUCAAAAUGCAACACAAAUCUCUCCAAGUUCUUAACAAGUUAGUAAGCACCAAAACGCAUCUGAAUCGCAGACAACAACAAAGAAAUCAAUUUCCAUACAUGGCAAUCGCAUUUGUAUAUACAUUCUCCUGCUUAAAACCUGCUAACCAAAGGAACGAUCCUGCUCGUACAAUAUCGAACUUGAGGGGUACGCAAUCGCAUUUGCACAUCUUCUCCUGCUUAAAAAUCUGCCUAACUCAAAGCGCGACCCUGCUCGUACAACAUAUUGAGUUUACUUAAAAUUGUGCCGAGUGACAUCAUAUUGUUCUUAGUUUCGCGAGAGAGCAACACUGCUCCAUAUCAUAACUGCAUGUCAAAACAUUUAACAUGUGGCGGUAAAUUCACGGUCCAUUUGGGAAAAGGAUCAAUUUCGUCCUCUCAAUUUUUUUUUUUUUUUUCAUCUUUCUUCUUUUCUAACUAAGUCAGAAAUCAACAUGAAUAAACAAGACCAUGCAGCAGACUUUGCAGCACUAAAUGGAAACUUAGCCAAAGAGGGCAAAAGCUUCCCAUGUUUCCGCUUAUGCAAUAAAUCAGUACUUCUGAAAAAUCCAAUAAUGGACCAAAUGACAGUAUAAAUCAACACAUACAUCUUGCAUCCAGAAAAAAAAAAUUUUUACAAAUAUAUUUUUUGAAACUACAGCAAUCAUGAAAUAUGGAGGUCAAUAAAUACUUCUUUACACUGGCAGAAUAUGUGAACCUUCAACUUUGAUAGGAUCUCCAUCAAAUCUUAGGCCACGCAAAGUAAUGAUAGACGGUGGCCUCAUACGAAACCUUGAGUAUUGAGAAAGAUAUACAAAAUUGAGCUGAGCCUCAAGCGUUUUAUCUAACAUCACCUUGAUGUCAGAGAAUCCAAGAUGGCACACCCUGCACCCAUUUUGGCAACCUAAGAAAGCUUUAAAGACCGAUCUAAAUCUCAAUAAGCAACUCCAAGGAACUAAGCAAAGUAGAAUACUCAAAUCUCUUUUCCUAGAACUUAAUACACGAUACCAACAGUAGAUUUUAGGCAAGUAAAAAAGCAUAUGGGUAGCUGAAUAUUUCCGAAUAUCCAGUAAUUCACAAAACUGAGCAUCAAUUACAGCAUCACAAACAUCACACUACUUAAAAUUUAAAUCAUAAUAACCACCAUAUAUAGAACGUCAGACCUCAAUAAUUUCCUUCCAUAACCCUCAACAUUUCAGAGAUCAAAGCGGAGUAUUAUGUCCAUCUUAAGCUUCGUAUUUUCAAAAAGCACACAGGCCAAAAAUCCGUGUAUAUCCAGCGAUGGUGAUUACUCUUUAUACACACACUUCAGAACAGUUUACCCAUUCAUCAGUGUCCCCUAAGCCCUAUAUUCUAACUUGGAUGAAUAUGAUCCAUGUUCCACAGUGUCAAGAAACCAUGUUUGCAAAUCUCAAUUCUAAACAAGCUACUGUGUGUUACUGUGCUUGAAUUCCUUACCCUAUAGAAUGGAUUAACGGAGAAAGGGACACAGAAACCACACACAAAGGGUCCGCCAUCAAACAAACCUAAAAACGAAAAAGAAAAAGAAAAAGUAGGACAUUCAGUGAUUGGCAAAUUUGCAACAAUAUUGAAUUCAUAUUUCAAUAUUUUAUGAAAUACUUUUUUCAAUGCCAAAACAGAACCAAAAGACUAUAAAGUGAAAAGUAUCACUUUCACUGAUUUUUAAAUGUUAUCCUUCACAUCCGCUACUGUGAAAGUGAAGCUUGGCACCUUCAUUUACAUGAUACAUCAAGAGUAAUGCCAGAUGCUGUACAAUACAUUUUGGCUCUAAUGUUUGCACAAGUAUAAUAAAGUGAAAAAAAUGCAAAGUAUAAAUGAAUUCCCACUGUCAUAACCCUGCUAGCAUAUCAAAUCUCCAAUGAAAUCUGGGCAUAUUGAGAUUGUUUUUUCAAUAACAGAACAUUGGGAUGGCUUUUUGCAUUCCAAAAUUCCUGGAUUGCUACCCUGUAGGGUUAGGACUACCGCGCCACUAAAUAGCAUAUCAUUAGAGCCGAUCAAUGUUUACAUAGAGUAGCAUACAGGCGUGAGGUGUCGGAUGCAGAUGUGUAUUAAGAUGAGACCCAUUAAAUACAAAAUCAAGCUAUCAUGUCAUGGUUUGAACAGUCCGGUGUACGUACGGUAUCGACCAUUACAUAACAAUUUCAGUGGUACCAAUACCGAUUUACCGAUAUAUCGGUGUGAGGGAUUCAGUGAACAGUGUUACGUAACGGAACGGCCAUUAACGUAAUGGCUGCUGUUACGUGAGUAAAUGGAAAAAAUGGACUGUUACUGGAAAAAAAAAAAACAAUUUUUGGGUACAACAAUUCUGAAAACUUCAAAAAAGCUGUCAAAAGGCUGAAAAAAUAAAGUAGCCUUACCUUAUUCCGUGAUUAUGUACUACCGAAGGCUGACCUUAGACACAUCUGCAUUCAAAACCGCGGCAACUAUAUGCUAGUCAUGUAACAUUGUUCGUGUGGAUAAAUUGCUAUUUAAUUGCAACAAUCCUAACCCUUCAGGUACUAGCAAUCCUCGAAAUUUGGAAUGCGAAGCCCUCGCAGUACUUUUAUUUGAAAAAAAAAAAAAAGGACAGUCUCAAUUGAGACUCUCAAUAUGCCAUUUCAAUGGAAACUUUGAUGCAUGCUAGCAGGGUUAUGACAAUGGAAUUCAUUGUGGCUCUCAAUUUGCACAAGUAUAAUAAAGGUUGAAAACAAAAGCUAGACACCACAAUCGUAAUCGUUCUAUGUCCCAAAGCGGGCCAAGUUCUAAUGGACGGGUUUGGAGUGUCCCAAGAAGUGGAACCAAAGGUUCAAACUAUUAAUUAGUCUUCCAAUUGUGUGUAUGGACUUCCCUUCCACACCACGUGGCCAUCCCCCCGUGACAAGACCGUGCUAUUUUCCCAUGGAACCAACGCCAAGUGAUAUGGAACUCGUGGGAAAGCUGUCCCAAUCUUAGCUCGUAUCAUGGCUUUAAGCAGGGCUCAGGGAUCCUAUCGAAACCACCAGAAGGAUACGUUGGCUUUGAACUCGAGUUGAGUAUCAUCACGUUUGCUCGGCAACUCCACCUCGUUUUGACUCCCACCUUGUCAUUCUUUGAGACAAAGAGGAUGUUAACCUUACACUCUUGACUCCAUGGAGCUCAUAUCAUAAUAACAGCACUCCUUCGCAACUACCCACCUUGCCAUCGCAUGAUCCGGCCUCCAAAGUCUGACACUUUGGAUGGCCGGCAUCCUCGGGAAGAUCCCAAACUCAAGGGAGGGACGCCAUCACGCUACGCGCCAAUGCAAGCUAGCUCCCCCUUUGUCCGAUCACUAUAUAAGGUCCUCCAUUUACUGGACUCACCAACGCGUCACCAAGCUUUUACCCUUUGGUUCUUACUCAAACACUGCCUCCCCCCCCCCCCCCCCCGCUCAUCUCUCUCUCGGGCUCUCUCUCUCAAGCUUGCUCAACUCUCAACUCCUCCUUCCGAGGACUGCCGGCGAUCAAAUGCCCGCCAUAACCCCAAAAGGCUAACUCCGGCCGACAAGCCAUCCACUUUCCACACAAAUUAAGUGUUGAACACUUACACAACCAAAUACUAUUACAACUAUUGGUUUAUUUCUUAGCCUGUAAGCAUUAAGCCUUAUAUUUGCGUACCUGCGUACAUGUUCACUGUAGAGAGAAACCCUGCACCUCCCCCAUUUUGGAUAGCAAAUUUGUCCACUGAACCCUUUGGUUGGUGCUAUAUACUAAGAUUUGCGCACUGACAUCAUAGAAGCAUACGCACACAACAAAUUCAUGCAAACUCAUGGGUAAUAUAUAUAUACCCGUGGUUACCCUAAAUAUGCAUAAGGCAUCUUUAUUAUUAAUCAACUUUAAAUUUUAUGAAAUUACUAAAACAUCAAGUCCUUGCCUUCAUAGUCUUAAAGAUCAGGGCAAAAGCUUAUGGGUACCUUCCAUACCUAAAACGCGAAAUUAAACCUACAUAUGAUAUAUCCCUCAAUAAAGCUAUAGCUUACUGAACCAAGGACUUGAGCUUUACCCAUAUCUCUACUCUAGUUUUAAUAAUAAAAAAUGACCAUUAAUGGCCAGAAGCCGUGUCUCCUAUACAACGGCAACUCCAGCAAUGAAGGGUUGAUGGAGACAAGAUACAUUGAGCGUGGCGAAGGGGUGGACGCACCAAUGGUGCGUUGACAGCGAUGUUUAGCUUGUCACAAAAUUGAUGCUCAUAGACAUAUCAAUGGUGAGUCUUUGUAGCGUAAAGCACAUAGAAAGAACAGAAAGUAAUCUCAAUUAUACUAAUUAAAUCAAUGAAACACGUCACUUUUCUCCUGUCCCCUACAAGAAGUAGAUUUUUUUCACAGAGAGAUAAAUCAAUUACCAAUAUUGAGUAUCAACGAUUGCCUGUCUAGCAUUAACACUAAAUGAAUAUCAAUUGUAUCAAAACCAUUAAAGAACUUCAAUAUAUAAAAACAUAAAAGAAAGAAAAGAAAUGACAUAUGCUGUCAAUGUUACACAGAGUGCAGAGUCAAAAACAUGCCAGAAAGUAUUCAACAAGACAUUGAAGUAACCACAAAAGGAAAGCAACAUGCAGUAACAGAGAAGAAACUAUCAAAACAACAAGAACAAUGCAUACUCGAUUAACAUGACAUAAACCUUCCACAUAAUCUUAUUACAUAUAGACCUCCAACCCUAUAAACUUUGCAGACUGACACACGGGCAGAGACAAGCUUACGAUCAGCCAGCUUUACACAGGGCACGAGAUGCUACAGGUACAAAAGCAUGCAAACUUCAUUAAUUUUACAAACCUUACAAGUCAUCAACCCCUUCCUUCAUUGUUUCCUUGCAAAGAAGGUGGAAGUCAACUGCAAAACCAUUGAAGCAAGAGGCUGUAUCAUAUUCAUCCACCUCACUGUCACCACACCACCACACCCUUACUGUAUCUACUCUGUGCAUAGACUUGCUGAAGAUUGAACUUGAGGGUGUUAAUCAUGGAUUCGUUGUAAGGGGCCCGUCGUUGCCAAGCACCAGCUUCCACAGCCAACUGCUCA
rnacentral:lncRNA from 1 species